UUCUUCUUCACCCAGUCUUCUUCAUGUCUUCUUAUUUCUCUGUCCAGGGUUUUUCCUCAUGUCUUUUUCUCUCUUUAUUGGUUCUCCUUCCAAUCUUAUGAGAUAAUGUCUUUCUUUUGUAACCUCUUUUUCUGUUUUUAUUGGGACAUUUGGAUUUUGGGAGAAAACCUAAUGAUUAGUUGAGGUGGUUCUAUCUUGUUCUAAUUAAUGUUUAGUUGUUUGGUUCUUGUUAGAAAAAAGCGACAUAGGUACUCAAAGUGGUAUAAACCAGCACAUAGUUUCUAAAGUAGUAUAAACCAACACAUAGUUUUCAAAAUGGUAUAACC
rnacentral:lncRNA from 1 species